CCUGCUCCUCCUCCCCGCCAUGGGGCUCGGCCCUGCCCCGCAGCCCCACGGGGCUGAGAGCGCUGCCGGGGUGCCUUCGUCGGGCGGACUCGGGGUGUCUCGGGCGGGGGCACGCCGCCUUCCCUGCUUAGGCGGACACUGCCUGGGCUUGAAAAGUAUUGUCCCAUAGAGGAAAUCACUUAUGGUGCAAGCACAGCUCAGACUAUGUAUUUUUCCAUGCCAAUUUUGGUCAUCUUCAGUUGUCAAGAUACCACCCUGAGAUCCAAACUUGAGAAGGGACACUUUUCAAGCAUCACCAAGUGAAUGUAAGUUGGAUUCGGUAACGUUUUGUGUGUCUCAAUCAUACAGCUCCUGUGGCAGUUGCAGAGGUAUCACACCAUUACAAAUACAAGGCUUAGCCCACCUAUAAAUCCAGCAUAGCAUUUUUUGCUUCAUAUAAAGAGAAGAGUAUGAGUACACACGAAAAGUGCCCAAUGAUCCCCAUUGCAUUGGCUUAAAACAUGGUACUAUUAACUCAAUUUGAAUAACACAAGUGUGUAAUAGCAUUUGUAACACAUGUCUGUGGCAUUUCAUAUUGCAAGUAAUUGUCAUCAGUUCUGGUACAUAAUUAAGAAAAAUAUUGCUUUUUCUAGAAAUUCAGUGUUAGCCACAUCAUGUCCUAUAGGCUGUAUUUUGAUGUCUUUUGAUACCCUUUCCUAUAUAACAACACUCAGAACAGGUUAGGAGAAUGUGACACGAAUGGUAACCACGGAAUCAGAGAGUCAUAGAAUUGUUUAGGUCUGAAUAGAUCAUCGAGUCCAACUGUAAUAUAGUGCCAUGAGGCAGAGCCAAAACAUGGACAAGACCCUACUUCUAGGUUACUAGGACUAAAACUGUGAAAAUUCAAGUUCUCAUGGGGAAAAAAAUAGCACUGCCAAAGCAGUCUGCUGAAUUUUAACUUUUUUUUUCUUUCUUUUGCUAAAGCAAAUUUUAUUAAAAUGAUGAUGCCACAAUGGAAGCUUAAUUACAAAACUCAGCUGUUUUUUUCUGUAGUAAUGUAAAGAAUUGAAGUUGGGAACAAUUACAGUAUUAUGAGGCAGCCAUGUAUAAAGCCAUAUAUAAAGAGCUUACUCUCUGGAUAUAUGACUGUUUUCACAGUGAUAUGUUACAAUAAAAUUUCUUAGACCUAUUUUCAGAUAUGGUAGCCCCACAUUUCUAUGGUUAUAAAUAAUUUCAUGUCUUCAUUAGAAGCACUAAAUAUAGUAUGGUAAUUCUAUUAAAGAACAGUCUUAAUGAGUAUGUUUUGCCUUUAAAGCACAGCAGACAAAGUUGUAAAAAUUUGUCAUUUAUUCAAGAUUAAGUAUUGCAACUAUAUAUUCAGGGCACAGAAUAACUUGGAAUUACACCAGAUGUCGGUCAAAAAAUUCAGUUAAGUUUACUUUUGGGAUUUAUUAUGAAAGGAUUUUCAACAUUGUUGAUGUAAAUGUAAAAACAUGCUUUUCCAGGCAGACAGAGACUAAAUAGAAGAGGGUUUUUUUCAUCUCCUUCUGUCAAACUGGCUAAUGACAGUGGCAGAGAUCUUAAAAUCCAUUUUGUUGUCUGAAGGUUGACAAGCCUGAAAACUUCCAACAUUUCUUUUAUAAUAUAAUUGAUCUGCAUCUCUUGCAGUCACUCUUCCACUCUUUAUAUACAUUAGGAUUUGGGGGUUAUUUAGUUUCUGUUUAAUUUUUCCUUUGAAUCAAUAAUGUUUGGUCACAUGGGACAGCAGUUUCCAUAGUGAAGAGCGUUUUGAGUGUUGUCUGUACUGUGCCUGUUGCUUGAUCCAUAGUUUAUUUUUAUGUCUUUGAUAACUUGUACAUGUUUAGAUCAAAUAAGCUUUAGUCACAAGCCACUUUUGAAAGAAUUUUCUAUGCAAGUCCUUCUUUGGGUUGUGUUGUUUGUCUCCAGUUCAACAUAACUCUUCUAGACUUUUAAUCCUGUUAAAUACUCACAUGUCACUUU